GAUGAACGCUGGCGGCGUGCCUAAUACAUGCAAGUCGAGCGAACGGACGAGAAGCUUGCUUCUCUGAUGUUAGCGGCGGACGGGUGAGUAACACGUGGAUAACCUACCUAUAAGACUGGGAUAACUUCGGGAAACCGGAGCUAAUACCGGAUAAUAUUUUGAACCGCAUGGUUCAAAAGUGAAAGACGGUCUUGCUGUCACUUAUAGAUGGAUCCGCGCUGCAUUAGCUAGUUGGUAAGGUAACGGCUUACCAAGGCAACGAUGCAUAGCCGACCUGAGAGGGUGAUCGGCCACACUGGAACUGAGACACGGUCCAGACUCCUACGGGAGGCAGCAGUAGGGAAUCUUCCGCAAUGGGCGAAAGCCUGACGGAGCAACGCCGCGUGAGUGAUGAAGGUCUUCGGAUCGUAAAACUCUGUUAUUAGGGAAGAACAUAUGUGUAAGUAACUGUGCACAUCUUGACGGUACCUAAUCAGAAAGCCACGGCUAACUACGUGCCAGCAGCCGCGGUAAUACGUAGGUGGCAAGCGUUAUCCGGAAUUAUUGGGCGUAAAGCGCGCGUAGGCGGUUUUUUAAGUCUGAUGUGAAAGCCCACGGCUCAACCGUGGAGGGUCAUUGGAAACUGGAAAACUUGAGUGCAGAAGAGGAAAGUGGAAUUCCAUGUGUAGCGGUGAAAUGCGCAGAGAUAUGGAGGAACACCAGUGGCGAAGGCGACUUUCUGGUCUGUAACUGACGCUGAUGUGCGAAAGCGUGGGGAUCAAACAGGAUUAGAUACCCUGGUAGUCCACGCCGUAAACGAUGAGUGCUAAGUGUUAGGGGGUUUCCGCCCCUUAGUGCUGCAGCUAACGCAUUAAGCACUCCGCCUGGGGAGUACGACCGCAAGGUUGAAACUCAAAGGAAUUGACGGGGACCCGCACAAGCGGUGGAGCAUGUGGUUUAAUUCGAAGCAACGCGAAGAACCUUACCAAAUCUUGACAUCCUUUGACAACUCUAGAGAUAGAGCUUUCCCCUUCGGGGGACAAAGUGACAGGUGGUGCAUGGUUGUCGUCAGCUCGUGUCGUGAGAUGUUGGGUUAAGUCCCGCAACGAGCGCAACCCUUAAGCUUAGUUGCCAUCAUUAAGUUGGGCACUCUAAGUUGACUGCCGGUGACAAACCGGAGGAAGGUGGGGAUGACGUCAAAUCAUCAUGCCCCUUAUGAUUUGGGCUACACACGUGCUACAAUGGACAAUACAAAGGGCAGCGAAACCGCGAGGUCAAGCAAAUCCCGUAAAGUUGUUCUCAGUUCGGAUUGUAGUCUGCAACUCGACUACAUGAAGCUGGAAUCGCUAGUAAUCGUAGAUCAGCAUGCUACGGUGAAUACGUUCCCGGGUCU
rnacentral:rRNA from 1 species